CAUUCAAAAAAAUUAUUUCAAAAGAGAUUUCAUAUAAAGCCUUUAAAACACGGUCAGAAGUUUCUCCCUCUUCUCCAGAUCCCUGUGGCUGAACAUUUACAGAGAGAAAGAGAGAAAAAAUAGAGAGAGUUCAUAACAAUCUCUGUAGAAGAAACAAAACAAUCCAGGAAAGAAAAUAUCCAAGGAUACGGUAAGGGAUAAAAUUACAUUUGUACAAAAAUAGAUUUUAACUUUAUUGAUGCUUUAGAUAUUUUUUUCCUUAUCUUUUCUCUUUUUUUUUUUUUUUUUUUUUUUUUUUUUCUAAAUUUUAAUGUCUUUUUUUUUUUUUUUAAUCUAUGUAUCCCAUAGCCAAGGCAUCCAUCACUAAGUAUUGGGAAUUGCUAAAGCUAUUCUUUUACUCCAAACCACCUGCUUAAAAGAAUGAAAAAAACCCCAAAAUAAAAGAAGAAAAACAAAACAAAACACCCAAAACAAAACAAAAAGGCAUCUUAAAAUAGAUGCAGUUCCUUUGUCUCGAGGAAUAAAAAUCCAGAUUUGGCAUCUGCCAAUUUGGAAAGGGAUUCAGAUACAAUGGAAGCAAAACAAGGAAAAAAAAAAUGAAACAGAAAGCAAGGAGGAAAAACAAAAAACAAAAAACCAAACCAGGAAAAAGAAUCGACUUAAACCACAAAAAGCCAGGAAAAGCCUGUAAUUGCUACAGUUCUCUAUGUGUAUAUGUGAGUGGGUAUUAUACAGUGUCGAUAUCUACAGUACAUACACGGACACACGGACACCCCGAGUGAUGAUGGGCUGUCCCUGCACGGCUGGGGACAGCACAGCUCUCCAGCCUUUCUGUGGGAUCAGCAGCCCAAGCCAGGCUUUGGGAUCAGCCCCCAGCCAGGCUUUGGGAUCAGCAGCCCAAGCCAGGGUUUGGGAUCAGCAGCCCAAGCCAGGCUUUGGGAUCAGCAGCCCAAGUCUAGAUUUGGGAUCAGCAGCCCAAGCCUGAUUUUGGGAUCAGCCCCCAGCCACGGUUUGGGAUCAGCAGCCCAAGCCAGGGUUUGGGAUCAGCCCCCAGCCAGGCUUUGGGAUCAGCAGCCCAAGCCAGGCUUUGGGAUCAGCCCCCAGCCCAGGGCUGUCCCCGCUGCAGGGGAGGGGUCAGCAAGGCCAGGGGUCAGCUCUUCCCACACCCACCAGCCCCUAAAGCCCCCAGUGCCACUCCUGGACAAUUCCAGCAGCAAGGGGAGCUCGGCAUUCCCACGGAGGGGUUUGGGAUGUGCUGGACUGGGUUCAGGGUGGCUGGAACACGCAGCGAGGGGCAGCGGGGUGGCUGAAAGGCUGAUGCUUGUGCUAUCUUUAGAAAAUUAAAGAUUGUCCCACCAACAAAAAGGAAUUAAAAUAACCAUUACAAACAGAUCACCUGAAUCAAAGCAGAUUUUUGCAGGAGUACUGAGAGCUGGUUAAAUCCACAUCCUACCUCUCUAGGGAAUAAUGUGCCUUUUGUUUUCCUUCAGCCACGGCUCACCUCUCCACACUCAGCCUCAUCAUGAUGGGGACAACAACAACAACAACAAAAAGCCCAAAGUGGAAAGAACACAAAGACUCAAACUCAUGCAAAGCUCGUUGCUUUAAGGCUGCUCUGGCUGUUCCCAACACACAAAAGCUUCUCCUUCCCACAGGAAGGCUGGGAUGAGCAUGGAGGGGCUGGGCUGGGCUUUGGGGGCUCAGGGAAUCCCAACUCACUUCCACCAGCUGAGAAGUGAAAUCACAGGACAAGGCUCAGCUUUUCCCAAAAUCCCCUCCACCACAGGCAUGGAUUGAGGCUGUGCUGCUCCAGCAGGGAAACUGAGGCACAGGGAUGAUCCUGACAGGGAGUUUGGAGCCUGCAGAACCUUGGCCUUGUAAGGUGAGAUGCUAAAAGGGAUGGGAUGGGAU
ensembl:lncRNA